GAAAAAAUCCCUAAAUUUGGGGCAAUGCUCUUCAAUGAGAACCCAAGCAGAUUAUGUUAUGGCUUAGAUUUCAACUUCAUUUUCAAUGUAAUAAAUUGGGGCAAGAGUGUCAUGCCUUGUCUGAAGGCAGAAAGACGCGUAAUAAAUUACAUAUACAUUUUUUUCGUGUAUAAUUCGUUCUUCCCUUGUCCUCCCCCUCCUAACCCUACAAGUGUGAAAAGCUGCAGAAUUCGUACGUGACAGUACGUCACAGUACCUGCACGCACACAAACAAACAUAUGGAUUCCACCAGCCUCCUGCAACCCAGUCUCUUCGCCCAUCGACUUGGAAAAAAUCGUGAGGCCCGCGUGGAGAAAUACACCCCUUGUGACAAACACGGCUGACCACUUGUCAAAAUCCCGUCGUAUGUGCUAGUAAUGUUGUAAUUACCACCAUACCGUGCCCUUUAUGCGCACCCGCUAGGAGCCGCUAUUCUUAAGAUUAUCCGAAAGUUGUUUUUAAGCUCAGUUGCAAAAGCAAUUAUUACAGUAUCACUACAUUGUCAUUAACUAAAAAAUUCAGGGCACACAAAAGGACAAGGAGCACAGUGGAGAGGGGGAUUGGCCAGUGGAAGCGGAGAUUUCAUGUGCUCCAUGGUGAAAUCAGAGUCAGCCCUCCUGCAUAUGUGUGUAGAAUAAUACAGGUGUGUGCUAUUUUGCACAACAUCUGCAAAGACAGACGCCUCCCUGUACCCGAGGAAGGAGAGGACGAGGGUGAUGGUGCAGUUUCCCAUGAGGACCCACCUGUCCCACUACCACCUGUACCUGGACGAGUUCGGGAAGGUCUGCUCUACAGGGAUGAGUUUGUCAACCUUCACUUCAUUGACAGACCUCAACCUCAGCCUCGUGCAGCUGUGUGAGGCUUCCCGACCCAUCAACAGGUUAAUUCCACACCUACUUCCAAGUAUGU